UAUGCACUCUACUAUAAGUCGCUCUGGAUAAGAGCGUGUGCUAAAUGACUAAAA
rfam:Salmo salar isolate Sally breed double haploid chromosome ssa15, whole genome shotgun sequence.